UGUGCAUUGGGGUAACAUUCAUAAGGAGCCUUUAAAAUAAAUCUAAAGAACAUUAUUAAUAAAGUUAGAAUAUUGCUUGGGGUUAAAGAGUAGACACAAUGGGUUUUGGACCAGUCUUAUCAAGUUUGCUGAUACUUACAGUGGCCAUUGAGCUUGCUACUACACCAGCGGCUGCACAAACUGGUUUAUCAACCACAACUGGAGGUUCAACAACAACUGGUGCAUCAACCACAACUGGAGGUUCAACAACA